rnacentral:rRNA from 1 species
AUGAGUGCAAGCAACUUUGGGGACAGCAUGGAGUGGGGCAGGGGGAGAUCCUCCUCCUCCUCGUCGGGGUCGGGGUCGGGGUCCAGGAGGGGCAAGAGAGCCGCCGCCGUUGACAAGCCGAGGCAACCGCAGCGGGGCCUCGGCGUCGCGCAGCUUGAGAAGAUCAGGUUGCAGGCCGAAAUGGCCGAGUACCAGCACCACCCUCCUCUCGUCGGACAGCCACCUCCGUCGUCGUCGAUCCACGGAACCGGUAGCUUCAACCUGCAGGAAGAUGCACGCUCGUCGUUGAACUACUCACUGCCGUCGUCGCCGUCCUCCUCCUUCCAUCCAAAUCUUGUGAUGGCCUAUAAUGGAUGGAGAUCAGGAGACAUGAGAUAUGGCGAAUCCCCAACUGCUCCCAUCAUCAGAUCAGGGUUGAAUUACCAUGGAGCAACUACCUAUGGUACAACACAUUACCCUCAUCCGGGUAGCGAUCACACGUUACCUCUCUUCGAACCCAAGCUGGACCUAAAUCAAAUGGCGACAGUAGACUCAUCGUCGGCGAGUACGAACCUGGAUGAUGUGGACCUUGAGCUGAAGCUAUGA